GAUGAACGCUGGCGGCGUGCCUAAUACAUGCAAGUCGAGCGAACGGACGAGAAGCUUGCUUCUCUGAUGUUAGCGGCGGACGGGUGAGUAACACGUGGAUAACCUACCUAUAAGACUGGGAUAACUUCGGGAAACCGGAGCUAAUACCGGAUGAUAUUUUGAACCGCAUGGUUCAAAAGUGAAAGACGGUCUUGCUGUCACUUAUAGAUGGAUCCGCGCUGCAUUAGCUAGUUGGUAAGGUAACGGCUUACCAAGGUAACGAUGCAUAGCCGACCUGAGAGGGUGAUCGGCCACACUGGAACUGAGACACGGUCCAGACUCCUACGGGAGGCAGCAGGAGGGAAUCUUCCGCAAUGGGCGAAAGCCUGACGGAGCAACGCCGCGUGAGUGAUGAAGGUCUUCGGAUCGUAAAACUCUGUUAUUAGGGAAGAACAUAUGUGUAAGUAACUGUGCACAUCUUGACGGUACCUAAUCAGAAAGCCACGGCUAACUACGU
rnacentral:rRNA from 1 species